rnacentral:misc_RNA from 1 species
GGUGUUGAAUUAGACGAUCAACAUAAGCCUCCCUCCUACUUUUGCUAUUCACAUAGCUCAGUUCUGUGCUCCAUUGGCACCCCAACAAAGCUUCAGGGAAUUCUAGAACUUCAGAGUCAAUGACCUCACCAUCUAUGAUCUCCUUGCACCAACUAUGCAAGGAGGGAUCUAGAUCCCUUACAUCUUCUAGUGAAAUUUUCCUCCUUCCGGCCAGUUGCAUAAGAAACACAUGGGCAAAGGCAACAC